rnacentral:rRNA from 1 species
AGCCUUUGGUGUCUUCUAAGGUGUGCCCUGCCCACUGAUUUAUUAAAUGGCCGCAGUACCUUGACUGUGCUAAGGUAGCGUAAUCAGUUGGCUUUUAAUUGGAGUCGAGAAUGAAUGGGUGUACGGGGGCCAGCUGUCUCUAAGCCGUUUAAUUGAACUUACUUAGAAGGUGAAAAUUCCUUUGUUAAGAAAAAAGACGAGAAGACCCUUGGAGUUUUUAAUAAAUUGUUAUCUCCCUUUUUUGUUGGGGCGACAAGAAGGCAGGUGCAAAACCCUUCUUAACUUAUUUAACUGGACGGAUGUCUCAAGCAGGAAUAAACUACCCUAGGGAUAACAGCAUAAUGUUAAUAUAAGCUUGUGACCUCGAUGUUGGACUAGGAACUAAAUGGCUAGCCGUCAAGUUAGUUUUGUUCUGUUCGAACUUAUUCUCCU